UAGCUCAGUGGUAGAGCACUUGCCUAGUGUGUGUGAGGCCCUGAGUUCAAUUCUCAG
rnacentral:tRNA from 1 species